rnacentral:lncRNA from 1 species
UUAAGAUUUUCUCAAAUCUUUUUAAUAUUUCUUGUAUAUUUUGUUCAUUUAAGGAAUUUCUAUUAUCUAGUACUUCAGUUCUAUUUGCUCCAUAUUUUACACCUCCUUUGAUGGUUUCUGGUAACUUUCUCCACCAUUCAGAGACAGUUCCUCUAAAUGUGUGUUCUAUAAAUCCAAAAGCCGUAUAUGUUUCCCAUUUAUUAAAUUGUAUAGCUAAAUCUGUACUUUUUAUCCAUGUUUCAAUAGCUUUAUUUUUAUCUACACAAUCUAAAUCUAACCAUAUUCCUGUUGUGUG